UGGGAAUCCAGAAGAGCAUGGUCCUA
rnacentral:piRNA from 1 species